UUGGCUACACAUACGAACGUGUGUAUUCGUACUUCCAAAUUUAAUUCGCCGUUGAUUCUGACUUCGUGUGCUGGUGCUAUUGCUGCCGCCCGCCUUGAUGUGCUUGCUGGCGUCCAGCUCUUCUCAGUUCAAUUGUGACCGCUAUUUCGACAAGUUGCAAGUGCGUGUAAAGUUCGCUUCCGUUUGGAAUAGUUUAUUUAUUGUGUUUGCGUUGAAACGCCAAAUUGAGAUUGCAGUAACAAAGUUCUUAAAAGUUAUAUAUAUAAGGUAAGAUAUCGAGAGAGAAAACAAAACAAAACAAAAAGUUAUAGUAGUGCGUUGGAAAGGAAUGCAAAUCGAAUUGUCACAUUUCUUAAAGUAACAGAAGGCUCAUGCUCAAACUCACUGGCAGUAAAACAAGUAUUAUGAAAAACUGAA